rnacentral:rRNA from 1 species
AUCGUGUCGGUGGAUCAUUCGGUUCAUAGGUCGAUGAAGAGCGCAGCUAAAUGCGAUAAGU